AUAAUAAAAGAGUAUUCUCAAGUUCUUGAUGCUAAGAAAGAUUUUGGUGUAUUUUAAUGCCAGGAGUGUUUAAGAAAAUGUUUAUGAGUGCAUCAGAUCUAGGGGCAGGUGAGGCUGAGAGCUUCCAGCAGGGCUGUGGUUGGUUUCUAAUGCACUGCCUUUACAGUUCUGGGACCUGCUUUUAAAACACUCCCAUCACAGGAUAAAACUUGUCUUGGAGGACUACAAGGAGAUCUUUGAGGCUUUGCCAUUCCCAGACAAGCAGAGAAUUACCGAUAUCUUUGAUACCAUCCCCAUGACUGUCGCUGGUGUGGUGGGUUACCUGGAGUCAUCUUCUCCAUAUCAAACCUUUAUGAAGAGUGACCCUGAAGCCGCGAAAUCCCUUCUCCAAGAGGCAGAAAAGAGGAUGCUGGAGGUGAUGGGAGUUU